rnacentral:lncRNA from 1 species
CACAUAUGUGAUAAAAAUUUGUACAUGAAUCUAUUCACAGACAUGAUAACAUUUUUCAUGUAUCCGUCCUCAUGUGUGAUAAAAUUUGUGCAUGACAUUGUGUCCGUCCACUGUUUUGAUUAGUGUUAAAUGUCUUGGUCAUUGCCAGACCCCUCAUGAGUCAGUCAAAAUUGUUUUUUGUCAGUUCCAUACAAACCAGAUGAUCAUGAAAUAUUCUUUCUGUUUUCGCUGUCAUUUCUAUGAAAGAAUAUUUCACUCAUUCAGAUUCAUUCAUCAACAUUGUUUACAUGGGAUACCAUUUGAAUUCAUGAGAAUUUUAUAAUAUAGUGAACAUUAUUUUAGUAUCUAUAGUAUUGUACUCGGUAUAUCCAAAGCCAGUUUAACUGCAAUAUUAGCAUAUCAAAUAAUAUUUGACAAUUAUUAUAUUUAUAUCAAGUCACAAUUUAUUGUUUUCAUUUUUUAUACAUUUAAUUUAUUCACAUUUUAUUUGUUACUCAUUUUGUAAAACUUUAUACAUCAAAACAGUUAUUUUAAUAAAAUAUAUCAAACAG